rnacentral:rRNA from 1 species
CCUACGGGGGGCAGCAGUGGGGAAUAUUGCGCAAUGGGCGAAAGCCUGACGCAGCGACGCCGCGUGAGGGAUGAAGGUCUUCGGAUCGUAAACCUCUGUCAGCAGGGAAGAACGGUCACUGUGCUAAUCAGCAGUGAAUUGACGGUACCUGCAAAGGAAGCACCGGCUAACUCCGUGCCAGCAGCCGCGGUAAUACGGAGGGUGCGAGCGUUAAUCGGAAUUACUGGGCGUAAAGCGGUCGUAGGCGGUAUGUCAAGUCAAGGGUGAAAUCCCCGCGCUCAACGUGGGAACUGCCUUUGAAACUAGCAAACUGGAGUGUGUGAGAGGAAAGUGGAAUUCCAGGUGUAGGAGUGAAAUCCGUAGAUAUCUGGAGGAACAUCAGUGGCGAAGGCGACUAUCUGGAACAUAACUGACGCUGAGGAGCGAAAGCGUGGGUAGCAAACAGGAUUAGAUACCCUGGUAGUC